AACCAUAGAAACCUGCGGAGUACCUGCGGAGGGAUCAUUACCGAGUGUAGACCCCCCGUAAAAAAGGGGGCCAACCUCCCGUCCUUUUGCUUGGGGCAUCCCCACUAAAAAAUUAGGGGGGUUUGCUUUUUAAGAACCUUCUGCUUCGGUGGGGUUACCCCCACCGGAAUACUCUCAAAAAUUCUUGUAUAACCGUUCUGUCCGAGGGGUUUGAUAAAUAAAAGCGAAAAACUUUCAGCA
rnacentral:misc_RNA from 1 species